rnacentral:rRNA from 1 species
AAGGGAAUCUUCCACAAUGGGCGAAAGCCUGAUGGAGCAACGCCGCGUGUGUGAUGAAGGGUUUCGGCUCGUAAAACACUGUUGUAAGAGAAGAAUGACAUUGAGAGUAACUGUUCAAUGUGUGACGGUAUCUUACCAGAAAGGAACGGCUAAAUACGUGCCA